ensembl:lncRNA
CGUGAUUGGUGUCUCGGGGCUGCGUUCAGACACCGAGGAAUAUCCUGUCAUGUGCCGCCACUGCUGCUAAAGGAACAGAAACAAAAGCAUCUCGGCUCAAAUAAUGUCUUCCACUUUCCCAGUAGGUUGAUGGAUUUUUCCCUCUGAAGAUGUUUGUCCUCCACAAAAAAAACGCUCACUAACUAAACGACCAAAUGACAAAUGGCCAGGCUCAAAGGUGCGGACGGAGCAUAUCCAGCAGACAUAUAAGGUGUUAAAUCGAAUUAAACCCGCUGACAAUCCCAUACUGUUGCAUGUAAACACAACUUAUUGUUUAACCCCCAGUGAUUCAAGACGCACCGCGUGCCUCAGGCAAAGAAGCUGGAAAUGUGUGAGUGUGCGCGCUAAAUAUAACCAGCCCCGGAGAGCGCCCUCCCAGAAGGGCUGGUGCUCAACUUCUAACAUAACUCAGAGAGCAGAGAGCGACCCGUACGCUAAACAAACUUUACGCGGGCUUCGAUUACUCGGAGUAUGGAGGAGGAGGUCCCAGUGAAGCGGUCCGUGGCAGAACUGGCGGGGAAGUUUAAAAAUGUCGUCCCUGACAAUGAGCCAGCACCCAAGCCGGUCAGACUUCGCCCUCCCCGGUCCUUACAGAUCCAGUUACAGCACCCUGCAGAACAAGAGAAAGCAGAAGGCGCCACCACCCAGCUCGCUGCAGGACGACCCAAGCGGAACUCUGCCCUCAUAGAGAAGUUACAGGCUAACUUAGCCCUCUCUCCCUCUGCCCUUCUGACAUCGCCCUUGAGCCCCGGCUUCAAGUUCUCCCCCAAGCUUUCACUCCCCCUCCCCUGCCGCCCCGUUUCCUGUCACACCCCGUUUUCGGGUAACGCCGGUGACACCCACCAGCCCGCUGGCUGUCCUCACACCUCAGAGCGAGGAGGAAGCCCCCGCUUCCUUCGAAACCCCCCCCAGCGCCCAGGAAGGAGCCGUGCUCGUCAGCAUCAUUAAGAUGAAUGGGACUCGGAUGUGACGGGUUUGACUGACUGUGGAACCUACGACGUACCUCAGACUGUAAGGGACCGAGCUACAUAGGGAUCGGCUCGAUGAGGUCUACACAGGGAAAACACUGCAGACCUUUGGACCUUUUUUGCCUUCAAACCUGAUGGCAAAUCACGCUACCUGGUGCCAUAACGUGUCAACGGAAACUAGGAUCGUGUUUGGUCAAUCAUAAAGGGCUGAUUAUGGUUCCAGGUCGACACAACGCAAGGACCACGCAGACGCUUCGACGUAGUCGUGAACCUGUUUUGGUUCUGCGUCGGGUUUUAGUGAGCGGACCAAUCACAGCCCUUGUUGCUGCGUCGCUUCAACUCAAGGUUAGAAUUUUUGGGAGGCGUACGCCUGGCCCUUGCGGUGGACGCAAGGAGGGUCCGCAAGGACACAAUGGGUCCGUAAACCCCCUUGCGUUGCGACAACGUGGAACCAUAAUCAGCCCUUAAGACCUUGUGGCCCUGGCACAACAUUUAUUUUGUUCAUCAGUGUAAAGCGGUGUGACUGUAAUACCAGAAGUCUUUUGUUGUCUGCUACACAAUGUGAAAUCAGUCUCUCUUUUCUUUUUUUUUGAAGCCAGUACAAUUUGGUUUUGUGGAUGUUUGAUAAUGUAUUUUGAUUAUUAUUUUUUUUUUAUUAUUAUUGAUUAUUGAUUCCUAAAGCAUAUAUGUCCUAACCUAAUUGCUUACUCAGGCUUCUGUUUAUGAUCAGCAGAGCUCUGGACUCAAUAUUUCGACCAUGUUUAAACAAUGAAUGCUUUGAAUGUUUGGAUUUUAUAUUUGACAGUAAAAGGACACUAUAUAUUAGUGUAUAGAUAUUGAAUGUGAAAGAUUCUGUUGUCAUUGGCGCAAUUAUUCUUUUUACAAAACAUUAUUGCCAACAGUUUCCCAUUGGAUCCUUCCUUUAUGAACAUAAACUUCAUAAACUCUGUCUCACUUAUAAAAACAUAAGACCUGAGUAAC